CGGGAGCGAGCGGAAGUGACGUUUUACGGGCGCCGUGGUAACGGCGGGGCGAGCGGCGGCGGGAUGAACGCGCCUCCGGCCUUCGAGUCCUUCCUCCUCUUCGAGGGCGAGAAGAAGAUCACCAUCAAUAAAGACACGAAGGUGCCCAACGCCUGCUUGUUUACCAUCAACAAGGAGGACCACACGCUGGGGAACAUCAUCAAGUCGCAGUUACUGAAAGACCCCCAGGUGUUAUUCGCAGGGUACAAAGUCCCGCACCCGCUGGAACACAAAAUUAUCAUCCGGGUCCAAACCACCCCUGAUUACAGCCCCCAGGAAGCUUUCACCAAUGCCAUCACGGAUCUGAUCAGCGAGCUUUCCCUCCUGGAGGAGAGGUUCAGGGUUGCUAUUAAAGACAAACAAGAAGGAAUCGAGUAAAACCACCCCCUUCAGAGCAAACUGUACUUCUGAGGCAGAAUGAUGUGUGUGUCAGUUGAAUGCUAUAUUUAAACCUCCAUUCAUGGCAAAUAUUUUCCUCCUUGUCCCACUUCUGUUUAAUUUUUGACAGCAGUGGUGAUAUUUUGAGGGAUAUUUGAGACAGGCACUUUGCCAAGAGGAUAAAUGUCUUGGUUGAUGUGAUGGAUAAGUCAUUAAAAUGAUUUCUACUUUUCUAAUUGGAGCCUUAAGGCAAAUAUUUGUACUGGGCUGUUGAUGAGUUUAUUGCGAGUGUACUUUCAGAAUGAGAAGCUGCUGCGUGAUAGCGGUGGAUGAACUGUCUGCUUUUCCUUUUCAAGAAGUCUAGGCACUGCCAACUGAACUGCUGGUCUAGAAAACUGCAUGGUUACAUGGGUAACAGUCACUAAUACUGCACUAUUUCAAAGCACGGGAAUGAAACUCUGUUACAAGGAACUAUGACUUCUUCCAAAUUGCUGUUAUGUUCACACUAGUUAGGACAACAAGAGCCUUCACCAUGCAAGGGAACAGUAAUUGUCCAAAAGACAACUAUCACCGGAGGCCAGGGAAAUACCACCCCCCCCCCCCCCAAAAAAAAAAAAAAAGUGGUGUGGGCAUGCAGAAGCAGCGAACCCAUCAAGGAAACGGCAUCUGUAUGCUGGUAUUACCAGGCUCUCCAGUUUGACCACUAAUUUUUUUACAGAGGGCCCUUCUGCUAGGAAGAGUUGCCAAGCUGCAGAACACAGGAGCAACCAGACUUGCUUUAUAGCUCCUCAUUCCUGUCACUGUUGUGUUUGCAUGAGAUUUGAAAGAUGGCCUUGGUCAUGCUCUGGAGAUUGCUUUUAAUUGCUUGUGCGUGUUAGAUAGAGAAAACAGUUGGCAAGUUCUGGUGUAAAUCUGCUCCACAGGGGAGGGAGAGAGGCCCAGCUCUGCCCCAAAGGGUAAAUUAAAUAAGCCCUACCUGUGUGGGUGGGAUCCUCUUGUCGGAGCGUUUUCCCUUUGCAGACCUCCAUGCUGUGGUGUAGUUUGAGAGGUUGUACAUCCACACACUUCCGUUCUCAUCACCGCAGAAGACAUAGUCUUUUGCUGUAAGACCAAAGGAAGAAGCUGGAAAACAGGUGGAGAACUGUGUGUCCAUUCUGCUGUAAAGCAGAGCUCAAGCCAGUGUUGUAGGAUCCCGGCUGAGGACGGCACAUUUCAGCAAAACUCUUAUUUUCAGCACAAAUACAUUCAUCUACCUUGCUCUGAAAAAUGUAUAUAUUUAAAGAUAAAAUGGCUACCUUACUC